ensembl:lncRNA
CCCCUCCCCCUUCGCUCAUCAAGUGCAACGGCUCAGAGCGACACAUAUGCACGCUUCACUCUGAAAUAUAGAAUACAGAAAUCUGUUAAAUGCUUCAGACAUUGAGGUGUAUGUGUGCCUCCCCCCCCCCCCCCUCCCUUACAUACACAUAAUGUAACAAAGUACUUCUUGUGCUUGGAUACAUUUCUAAAGUACUUGUUUAUGCAUUUUAUGAUCUUAAAUUUGAAGCAUUGAGUCGACUUGAUAAGAUUAUCAAUAGAUUAAAAAAAGUCUGCAACGUUCUCGUAACAAAAGGAGGUUCUGAUUGUUUGGUAUCAUCACGCUGACAGAAGAGAAAACCCAUGAAAGCUUCUAUGCAAAUAGCUGCGAGUUAGGAAAAACAGUGCAGCCAAUAUUCUCCUGAAGUCAUCCUUUAUGCAAAAAGUAAACAGUAGAAACGGCCCUCAGGCUUCUUCCAAGUGAGCCUUUGUUUGACCUUUGCCCUCAGGCAGUUAUCCCAGUAGCGCUGAUGCAGACGCACGUUACACACACACACGUUACACACACACACACACACACACUUGUUACACACACACACACACACACACGUUACACACUUCUGCUUGUAAACUGUGGAUGGUGUAAAGAGUACAACCAUGAACCAUUGACCUGAAGAUCCACUGAUCUCUUUGUUUCAGGUGGAAGAUGUUUCCCUGUGAAAAGAACCGACUGAACGAUCCCAUUACAAAUAAAAGUUUGGAACUUUAUACUUAAAAACUACACUGAAUGUUAUCAAAAUGUAAACUAAGUAAAGUACUCGUUCUGGGAAUUGUUUUAUUGGGAUGAAUUAAAGUGGUGGUGCUGUCCUCUUUUAUAAGAAAAGGUCCUGCAUUCUAAAUUUAUAAAGAAUAAAAAAAGUUUCCCAAAAGUACUACUUACUGUAAUAGCCCACUUCCCAAUAAUACACUUAAAGUACUUUAUGUACUUUCAGUGGGUUGUUCCAUAAAAAUCACGAGGUACUGGUUUGAAUUAAUAAUCUAAAUGAACUGAACUGAGGAAUAAUAAAAUAAGAAGUACAUUAUCUCCUGCUGAGAUGUAGGGAAGUACAGUAUCAUACAAUGGAAAUACUUCUGUAACAGGAGUCUUCUUGAGAGUAUCUAGAAAGUUCCAGUUCGACCGUUUGUUGGAUGUUUGGUUGUUUCUUCCAGCGGCUCCAGCCCGGGGGGGCCGGGCCCCUCCUGAAGGGCCACGAGAGGACCCAGAAGGCCCGUGAAAUGAUUAAUGGGCAAGGAAGCAAAGUUCUGACACUCAAAUUCACUUUCAUGUUUUAUUCUCCAAUAGCUUUCAUUUUUAGUGAAAUAUUUGAAGAAGGUGAUUGAAAGUUUAUAAAACAAAAAACAUCUGAAACAUCUCAAGUUUCCUCUUUGACGAUUUGUGUCAUGCAAAUCAUUUCAUAUGUAAAACAUUGCUUUGUGAAGUAGCUCCUUGCUACUAACGAAGCAGUAAGAUAAAUACAGCACAAUAUCCCCACGUGGUAAACUAGCUAUUACUCCCUUUGGGUGGCUCAGCACAUCCAUAAAGUCCAAACACGCCUUUCACGUGUGGAAAUACCAAACUAUCGGUCACGCAGCGGGCAGCGGGGGCCGGAUCCUCCACCAACACGUGUGUUCAGAGGGCGCGUCGUUCUUUAGGACUGUAAAUCACAUCUAACAGAACCCUCUGCGUUGUAGACGGAGCCCCGUGAGUAGAUGUUUGUAGAUGUUUGUAGGUGAAGUGCAGUGUGGGAGACGCCCAGGUGGCCCCGGGGCCCCACCUUCCACAUAGCAGGUAACAAGCACAAGCAGAUACACAAAGACUGCAAAUGAAGACGCAACAUUAUUGCAAACGUGACCAAACCAACCACAAAGAGGCACAGAAAUAACAUGUUGAGACCAAAACAACAACAGACAGAUGCACAACAGCUGCAGGGAGACUCAGAGCGGCUCCAGAAGAGAUUCAUGGCAACUAUGAAACGUUGAAAAGACAAACUUAAAGAGACCCAAAGCUACAACAAAGAGUCACCGCAGACCAAAAACAUCACUUUAAAAAUACCAGAAAGAUAAUCAAAGCCACCACAGAGAUGCAGAACAGUUACGAAGCGACACGACAAUUCACAAAAAGACAAAAACAACUACAAACUUAUUAAAGUUAAAUACAAAAAUAGUGUCCCGUGUACUCGCGUCCUCUCAUCGAGUACAACCGUACCGUGAGUAUGAACAGCACUUCUGUUCCUGCAGAGAUUCCCCCCCGAUGACGUCCACCAGGAGAGGAGCCGCGACGCCUGUUCCCCCUAGUGCUGCUGAAGGUGUGCAGGUACGUGCAUCACCUUCGAUGACGAGAGGAGCAGUCGACUGAAACUGUGAAAAGUCUCACGUGAGCGAAAGUGUUCCGAUGUGCAGAACCAUCCAAAUGCCACCAUGUUGACAACUUCAGCGUCAACGAUGAACCGGCUCGCUGCCUUGGAGAUUGGAGAUUGGAGAUUGGAGAUUGGAGACCUCCCACCUCCCCCCCAUGGGUCCCGAGAUGUGGGACGUGCAGCAGCAGCACCUGCGUCCACGUUGUUUGUCUUCGCUCCGCUGGGCGUCUGUACGAUUUGUGUAAAUAAAUGACCAAGCGAGGGGGGGGGUCAUCAGAAGUCCAGGUCAUCACCAGAUGUUUGAGAGCUACGGCAACAGACAGAUGUUAAUGUGAACGUAGGAGAAAUUAUAUAUUCCAAUUUCCUGGGAGUGAAGCAAAAAGCUUCUGUUUUCCAAAUCGCCAUCAUGUGCUUCAUGUGUGGAGAAGAAGCCCAGGUUCUCAACAUGAAUCUCCUCCUCAUGGGCUUCAUGUGUGGAAAAGAAGCCCAGGUUCUCAACAUGAAUCUCCUCCUCAUGGGCUUCAUGUGUGGAAAAGAAGCCCAGGUUCUCAACAUGAAUCUUCUCCUCAUGUGCUUCAUGUGUGGAGAAGAAGCCCAGGUUCUCAACAUGAAUCUUCUCCUCAUGGGCUUCAUGUGUGGAGAAGAUGCCCAGGUUCUCAACAUGAAUCUUCUCCUCAUGUGCUUCAUGAGUGGAGAAGAAGCCCAGGUUCUCAACAUGAAUCUUCUCCUCAUGUGCUUCGUGUGUGGAGAAGAAGCCCAGGUUCUCAACAUGAAGCUUCUGUUCAUAUGCUUCAUGUGUGGAGAAGAAGCCCAGGUUCUCAACAGGAAUCUUCUCCUCAUGUGCUUCAUGUGUAGAGAAGAUCCCAG